rnacentral:tRNA from 1 species
GCCUCUGUAGCUCAAUUGGUUAGAGCCCUGCACCGGAAUCGCAGGGCCGUAGGUUCAAUUCCUACCAGAGGAC